rnacentral:sRNA from 1 species
CUUUAGCAGUCUGUUCUUAUUGCCAGCAUAGUUAGAUUCCGUUAAUGGGAAUUAGUCUUGCUAGCUUUGCUUGAGGAUUUCUAUCACGGGAGUGAAUUGAUCUGUUGUUGAACCUAUUAUCUAGGGAUAGCUUGAUUGCGCUUGUUAACCAUUUGAAUAGGCUAGGAUACCACUCUAUUCGAUUACCCCAUCCUUAGGAAUUUCUCGUCUAUCUGAUUUCUCUGUUUUAUCAUUAUCGCUUCAUCGUUCUCAUUGCCUGUUUCUUAGUUUUUGCAAUUACUCCACCAACUUACUCGACCACACCCAGUGUCUGGCAACAGACUGUGCAGUCGAGUAUAGCUGGUUCAUAUCCUGUCUGUUACUCGACCUGUUACUCGACCACAUCCUACUUCUGGCAUCAGCCUGUUGUGGUCGAGUGAUUUUAGUAAUUCAGUUAUUGUUUCUGUUUUCUGCAUGUUCGCUUAGGACUGUUAGAAACCCCAAAAUUGUUAUUGCUUGGCUUGACUUAGUGACUUCUGAUCACAUAUCAUCUGUUUGCAUCACACCCAUUUGGAUUGACACCCUAAGUACUACGACGACAUGAUAGUGCUAUAGGAUUAAUUGAU